ACCUCCUUCCUUGAUUCAUAUAACAUUGGUAUGUAAACAUAACUUUUCUAUUAUAUUGUAAACAAGAAACUCUUAUCACCUAGUGUUAUUUUUACGUACCUCGUCAGUCAAUUUGAUAUUCUUUCUUGUCUCAUGCAGAUUUUCUAUGCCUUUAGUCUCAAUUUCAGAUGUGAUGUCUGAUUGUUCUAGUUGAGGUUUUGUUUCAAUAGUAACUUGAUCUUCUAUCACGGGUUCGAGUUCUCCAUGAUUCUAUUUUGCAAAAAAAGAACACAGAGAGAUGGGAUGGGAUGGCACUAAAUUAGAAACAAUAAUCUUGUUGAUAGCUAGAGUGAACAUUCGUACAAGAAAAGAUGUUCUUUUAAUUUUCUAAA